UGGGAGUUGGCACCCAGACCACUCCAAUGGGCAGAAGUGGUCUAGGUGCCAGGAGUGUCCCUUUAAAAUAAAGGAAAAGUGAUCUGAGAGAGUAUGUCUCGAGGAGUAAAUACUAGUUGAAUUGUGACAUGCUAUGCUUUUAACAGCUGUGGUUUGUAGUGCCCCCCCUUACUAAGGUGGCCGUGGGGGGCAGGGGUAGGAAUAUGAGACGGGGUAGGUACUUGGUCAAACCCCUAUCAC